AGGAACAUCCUCGCGGCCCGAGGCGCGGUCGCAGCCGGGGAGCACUCGCCACGGUGCUGUGGAAUUCUCUGGUUUUUCACGCAAGGUCAGGCGUCCUGCUGGCGCCCUCUCGCCACCCUGCCCUCCCGUCAGAAGCCCGGCUCCUCGCCGGGGAAGGCCGGAUGCUGGCCCGCCGGGACCUGGGACUUGUGCCACAUGGAGUGUCGGGAGUCUCCAUUGCCGCGAGUUCUACACCACAGGGCCAGGCUGUUUGCUCCCCAUCGGUCGCUGCCCCCAGCACCCUGUUGUUAUUAAGGACUCAUUUGCUUGGAGCGGCAUCAUUACAAGGGUGUGGGGGUCGCGGCUCCUUUGUCCAGGACUACGCAGGGGCUUGACCCCAGGGCGCUGGUUUAGGCCGGAUCUGGGGUCCCUUGUCACUCCCAGGCUUCUUCCACUUCCGAAUUCUGGAGAACCGGGAAUCAAGCCCUGCGCGUUCCUCUUCUUCCUCCUUCGUGCCGAAAGCACGCUUCAUGUCUGCCAGGGCAUCAGUUCUGAAAGCACCAGAUACUGCUACACCAUCUCAUCGGCAUGGACCUAUAUGUGGCAGCAAGUCCAUCUCAUCGCUUUUGGUGAAAGUCAGUCCAGUUUGUAAAGAUUCUCAUUGGUCACUGUAGACGAGGAACUGGGACACCAAAAGGAGAAACUCUGGCCACGCUUGCACCCUGUUCCCAAUCCUGGUCCAGUGUCACCCACAGAUGGUAAGGAGCUCUAGAGACCUCACCAGCCCCUGGGAUUGGUCACCUCACUCUUCUAUGGACAGAGAUUCCUGCUGGGAUCCUUUGAGGGCAAGCAGACCCUUCUUCCAGCUCGGACUGUGAACUCCACUGCAGCCGUAAGGACUGUCUGUGACAGUGAGCCCGAGAUGACUGGGCUCUGUGCUCCCUCCCGGCCCUCCAAUCCUUGGCCUGCCACAGAGAACUGAGCUCUUUUAUUAGCACCAUGAAUGUGACUGAUACAGCUAGCCAUUCCCUUGUGCGAAUGACUCAGUUUAUUAAUGCUCUGCUAAAGAUGGCUUCUUUGCUUGCCAGCAGCCUUAAACAGUAUUUCAUUAAAACUGGCUUAAUUAUUUUGAGAAGACGGCCCAAUUAAAAGCUAUACACUCCCUCUAUGUGAGUGUUUAUACAUAGAGCUGUAUAUAUAAUACAUAUUUGUAAGUGUGUAUAUAUAUAUGUGUGUAUGUAUGUGUCUAUAAAUAUAUAGGCUUAGCAAUUUCAUUACAUGGGAUAAAUUGUUGGAAAAAAUACCCAGGAGCUGGUCCCCUUUCUGUUGCUAGAUUCAGAGUAGAGGCCACCCCUCCACUCUGGGAGAGGCUGGUGUUGGUGAUCUCUCAAUGACUCUGCAAUGGAAGUCCCAACUGCACAGAGCCCUGCCCCAGUUUCAGGAGCCAGCAGCCUCGGAGAGGCGGAUCCUGACCUCUGCUCUGCUCUUGGGAUAGCCUUUCCCUUCCCAGCAGGGUUGAGAUACUUGGGCCGGGAAAUGUUGUGGCAAAGUGUUUGCCAAAGCUCAGGAGAGACACAGACUUGGGGCUUUUGUUUCUUGAGCUGGCUGUCUAGCUUUCCUAAUGAGCAAAUAUGUUCUCUUUAAGGAAACAAACAAACAAAGCAAAAACACCAAUUCAUCUGGAUUUUAUUCAUUUGUUUUAAAUACAAACAAACAAAAGGAGAGUGGUUAUUUCUGCACCAACUAUUUCAAAUGCAAGUUACUCCAUCGCUCGGGGUGGUUGGAUGGUGCUUGUCACCAUAGGACCCACAGGGCUAGUUCCAACUGUUAUUCGGUAAGGCUUUUUUCUUUCCAAAAUUCCCAGUGUUCCUUUAAGGCCCAUUUAGCUGCGGGUUUUGUUUAUUCUCCCGGCAAUCAGCAUUUAAAAUAAGACAAACAAGCAUUUUUUCCUGGGCUGUGAAUCCCCCCGGCCAGCCUCCACCUGCACACCUGAAGCCAGCAUGUCCAAUCAAAUUUCUCUGUAACCCAUAUCCCCUUUAGAGACUUGCCCCCGUCGUAUACCAGGCUGGAAAUAGAGAACUUAAGCAGGGCAAAUGUAAUUUUAAGAAUUGCUAAUGAUGCUAGAAAUCUGCAAUGCAAUUAGCGUCAUUGGAUUUGGCGCUCCUCCGAAGGCACAAAACUCCUUGUCAUAGCGCAGUGGCAGCAGCGGCAAGUGCCUCCGCAUGUGCCGGGCUGUCCGGGUAUGCUGGCAGCCGCUUUGCACUGAGAUGUGAGCAGUUGGUUAGGCUUCCUCUCUUUCUUUCUCACAGAUACUGACUUCUUUGUCUCUUUUCUGGGUUGCAGAGGGAUGGGUAUUUUCCAUUGAUUAUUACUUUAGCAUUUGACCCUCCAGUGGAGUCACCCUGUUUUUUUUUUAGAAAACUGAGACUCUCACUUUGUGAAUUCACUGUGCUCUCUGGGAUUUCAGUGCUGUAGUUCAACCACCAAUCCCCCUGUCCUGAACUCCAGUACUUCUGAUGCUAUUAAUUGGUUCCUCAACAAUUGUGGCCUUUUCCAUCAUUGCCCACCAUAGUAUAUACUUUUUCUUUCUCUCUCUUUUUUCUAAUUUCCUUGUCUUCUUCACUCUCCAUGGAGCCAGAGGUAGUAUGAAGAGUUAAAAAUAGGAAUAUAAAGAAAGCCAGAGGGACAGAGGGAGUGAGAAAGAAAAAUUUUAAAAAGGGAGGAAAUGAAUUAUUGGAUUAAAAAUAAACUUUUACUUUUUUGCAGAAAAAUUAUUUUUGCUCUCUGGGAAAAUAACAUGGGCCAGGCAUAAAAAGCAUGUCAGCUGGCUAAAAGAUUGCAAAAUCCAGAAGAUGAUCUCGAUGUGUCUGUUCAAUUUAGCAAGGGUAUCUACUAGGGGAUCCUCUUUUAAAUAUGGAGGCCCAAAUCAGAAGCUUGUAGAGGGGAGCUAUUCUUCCAAGAUUCCAGAUGUGUCUGUGAGACAACACGUUAUGGGGCAAAUUGAUUUCACCCUUGGGAAACCAGGGAGAUUUUCAAAGUUAUGUCUGCAAAGCCAGCUAAUGCAAUUCCCCAUUAGUGCAUUAAAGUGCGCCCUUAUUAAUUCAAACAUAAAGGCAACAAAAUAAGCUUUUAAAUUUAAAAUAUAAUACAUAUAUAAUGAGCAUGUGUGAAAGCCUUAUUCAAAUGAAAAUACAGGAGUGUUUGAACUACUGAGGUAUCUUUUGUAUUGAAUUAUGAGCAUAUGUAAUAGAUUUAAUUAUUAAUUUCCCCAUUGUUCUAUGCACACAGACAGGGUUCAAGGCACAGUCAUUCUCUGGCUUUCAUAGAUCUAAUUUGUAUAAUUAUUGCCUGAAUAAAAAAUUGCUCCAA
rnacentral:lncRNA from 1 species